rnacentral:rRNA from 1 species
AUGUGGACCUGUCUUCGUCAGCGCUAUGAGCCCUCUGGUGAUGCCUUAUAUCUUUCUGUGGUUCGUCAGGAGCAUGCUCUUCAGCAGGGUGACUCUACUGUUGAUGACUUUUAUGCACAGAGUUCUGCUAUCUGGCGCCAGCUUGAUUCUCUCCGCAGUGCUGGUUGUCGUACUUGCCCCUGCUGCCAGACUGUCCAGGCCGAUUUGGAGUUUCAUCGCGUCUACGAGUUCCUGUCUCGGCUCCGUAAGGAGUUUGAGCCCCGGCAUGCUCAGUUGUUUGCUCGUGGCCGUAUUUCUCUCAUGGACGCGCUUUCAGAGAUUCGUGCUGAGGAGACUCGCCUACGUGGUGCUGGUUUGCUGGAGGUUCCCUGUGUGCUCGCUACUCGGGCUUCUUACACUCCACCUGCUGCACCGCCUCAUUCUCGCUCGAGUGCUCCGCCGCUCUUGCCCACUCCUUCUGGAGGCUCAGGUCGCCCCCGUUCACAUUGUGACUACUGCAACAAUGAUGGUCAUAUUGAGUCCCAGUGCUACACAAAGCGGAAACACCUGCGCAAGGCGCGAUCCUCCUCCUCAGGGACUUCGUCA